CUUGGCUACGAGUGACGAUAACAAAAUCGGACCUUCGACCGACUUUGACAGUCUCUAGUUUAGUUUUGCUUUGAACUUCGACUAGUGCACAUCGCAGUUCUCACAGUACGCAUUCUCUACGAUAAAUAACGAUAAAUAACGAAGAGAAUUAAAUUGUGAAGUAGGGAUACUUGGCUACAAGCGAUGAUAACAAAAUCGGACCUUCGACCGACUUUGACAGUUACUAGUUCAGUUUUGCUUUGUAUUACGAGGAGUGUGCAUCGAAGUUCUGGCAGGAUGUCUUUCCUACAAAUAUCAACGAAGACUUCAAAACUUUAUUGCCAUCGCGUGUAGCAAUGAAGUAAUCGAAUACUUGUACGGCUAAAAUAAAAAUAUCGCAAAGUAGAAGCAGUGUUUGUUCGUUCGAGUUUCGCGAUUUAAACCAUAAGUGUUUUUGCAUGAACUGCGUGCAAUGCAGUCGUUAGAGUCAGUGUUUGUUCGCGAAGUUUUUUGAUUUUUUAAUAGUCGCACAGACUGUAUUUAUAAAAGAUAGUAGAGUUUCGCGAAAUAAAUUCAGUGAUCGUUCGUUAAUAAACAACUACCGCGAAUUAAAAUCAGUGCAUCACUGAAGAGGAUCUCAACCAACUUCGAUAUCGACCUACCACAUUUUCAACCAACUACAAAUCAUCCACCCUCAAUUUCGACCUAAAUCGCGGACGAGUGUUUUGGAGCCAUCGUAGAACUUCUUAAGUAGUAAGUAAUUUUUUAAGUCUCUCCAAUCACUCAAUCAUGUCGAGGACGAAAAAUCCGAAUCGGCACGAGUGAUUGGUUGUAAUUAAUAAGUAA